rnacentral:rRNA from 1 species
GAUGAACGCUGGCGGCGUGCCUAAUACAUGCAAGUCGAGCGAACAGACGAGGAGCUUGCUCCUUUGACGUUAGCGGCGGACGGGUGAGUAACACGUGGGUAACCUACCUAUAAGACUGGGAUAACUUCGGGAAACCGGAGCUAAUACCGGAUAAUAUUUCGAACCGCAUUGUUCGAUAGUGAAAGAUGGCUUUGCUAUCACUUAUAGAUGGACCUGCGCCGUAUUAGCUAGUUGGUAAGGUAACGGCUUACCAAGGCAACGAUACGUAGCCGACCUGAGAGGGUGAUCGGCCACACUGGAACUGAGACACGGUCCAGACUCCUACGGGAGGCAGCAGUAGGGAAUCUUCCGCAAUGGGCGAAAGCCUGACGGAGCAACGCCGCGUGAGUGAUGAAGGUCUUCGGAUCGUAAAACUCUGUUAUUAGGGAAGAACAAACGUGUAAGUAACUGUGCACGUCUUGACGGUACCUAAUCAGAAAGCCACGGCUAACUACGUG